CCUCGGCCCCGGCCCCGCCGCCACCCAGCUGUAUCAUACAGAUUCGGGAGGAAAAAGUGAAAAAGAAUACAAAACUUUAUACAAGCUUUAACUUCAGGGAAGGUACUCAGGCAGAAUAUAAUUAGCAAAGCACUUUGGCUGUCUUCCAGCUGCACGCAACACCAUACUCUUGUAAAAGAGCACCCAAGGAUUUUGAAUGACCACAAAUAAUGCAAUCAUGUUAACCUUAUGUAAAACCAGACAUGCACUUAACUACCCUGAAAUCAUUUCAUUCACUAUGUUAGCACAGCUGUCCAUGAUGUGGAUAUCAGACAGAUAGCAGUAUUUAUUCUACCAUUUGACUCUCUCCUGCUUGAUUUUUUACAAUAAAUAGGUCUUUUUUUUUUUUUUUUUAGCCUGAACUGAAUUUUAAUUGCAAAAGAUCAUGAGAUUUAAAGAACAACAAAUGCAGCCAUUUGUAGAGCAUGCAUGCUGAGGUCCAAGAUCUACUUCUGUUUCUCCCCUUGUCUUCAGCUCUUACAUGACCCAAUCAUGAAGAAAAGAUGUCAAAUGCCACCAGCACCAGCUGGAGAGCAUCUUGGUUGAACCCUGGUCUGAGUUUAUGUGAGAGGUAGCCCCAAGCCAGCCCACCAGCAUGGAAAUAGACCAGCAAGUAAAAUGUUACUGUGAGGAGAGCGAGGACUGCUUCAAAUCAGACAGAGCUUGCCAGAACAUAAUGGUGGCUUGUAACACAGCUAAUCAUGCCGAAUAAAACAGAGCCUUAAAUACAUUCAGGACUAGAUUCUCAAUGGACCCUUCCAUUUAGCAUGUGGCAUCAAUUUUUUUUUUCCCUAACCAACUGUAUUUGGUACCACAAGGGAUGGUUAAUACAAUUUCAAAAAAAAAAAUUCAAAAAAUAUGAAUAAAUAACCAUAAGUUGUUUACACAAAUAAACAUUCCAGGACGUGGGAUUUUAUUCAGUAAUUGCCAUAUUGGUCAUAAAACAUGCCUGAAAACCCAAAGUACUACUUUAUUGCAUUUAGCAGCAACAAUUAGCCUCUCAAUUUUUCACUGUUUUAACAGACAUGAUGGCUUUCUACUGUGAGAAUAGGCUAAAAAAAUAAGCAACGAACAAACACAACCAAAAAGCAGGCUCUUCUGUACAACCAUACGCUCCAUAGGCUUACACGCAAAAAGCCUGAGCUGUGUUUCAUGAGGCAAAAGAAAUAAACGGGCGGCAGACCAUUUUCCUUCCUACAUGAGGCACUAUCUAGAGGAGAGGGAGCAGCGAGGAGUUUUGUUGCAAGGCUCUCUCAGAUGUACCACAGGCAAUUCCUUGCUGCUGAGGACCAGAAUAAGGGCAAAAGUGGAAACAAUAGGAAAAGGUACAGUCCUUAAUGCAUCACUUGCUCUAUUCCAUUGUCCACGAAACAACAGAAGUGAUGGUUGGACAUGAUGACCUUAGAAAUCUUCUCCAACUUUAAUGAUCCUAUGAAUUUUUACACUGAACCAUUUCUGUAAAACAGAGAGCAUAAGUUUUGCAAGAGGGGGGUGUUUGUGAGCUGGAACAUUUUUUCUUUGCAGAAGAUUAAUCAAGAUAAAUAAGUCAUUUGGAAACGCUUGUAGUAGAUAUUCAGGUAGACACCUGAAGCCACCACAAGGCACAAAGUCACAUCAAGAGGACUCACUUUAUGUAGACUCUUGCAGGUUCAAGACAAGAGAAGUACAGCUGUGACAGAAACUGGGGGAUUCCACUCAGGUGAACUGCAGAUGUGAGCAAAGAUACACAUAACUGAUGCAGCACAGUUACCUCGCAAUUUGGAUAAUUAACCCAUGGGUAAUCAAGUAUUGAUGGCAUUGCACUAACUGCAGAAACUAUGUCCUAGGAACAUUACUGGGAAUAUCCAUCCUGUGUUUUCACCUCCUAGAAGUCCGAUUUGGACAGCUGACUGACCUACUUCCAGCAUGUCACUGUUCCCAGCACACCAACCCCUAUCCCUAAACACAUGGUUGCUUCCAGCAAGGGAGAGAAAAGGAGGACUGGGCUACAGAUGUUCCUCGCGCAUACAAUCAACACGGCCCUCCCCCACCAAAGUUUAAUAAGGAUUGUUAGUACAUCAUUGUAGCUGGUAAUUGUGUAGGUACACAUGGUAAUUGCAUGUAUUUGCACUAAUUAUGUAAAUGCACAAUAAUUAAAGCUCCAGGGUUUUCAUGGUAAAUUUUUAAAACACUCAUGGAUUUGUCAUGGCAAAAGUGUCAGUCAUGUAACCUAGUGGGGAAGAAAAGGAGGAGGAGGCUCAGGAGUGCACACUUCUUAAAUAAAAACAGACAUUUUUGCAUGAGUAACUGGAGAGGGGAUACCAUUUUAUCAUCAAACAGAACUGUCAUGCCUGGGUACAACUUCUUUCAGACUCUCUUAUCAGUUAGAAUAAUAAUAAUUAAAAAUUAAAAAAAAAAAAUUGGUUUUCAUGGUAGGUCAUUGCUAAUGCUCAAAUACUCCCUGCCUUCUAUCCUGGCUUUCCCCACCCACCCUGCACUGCAGGUCUCAGGGCUUCCCUCUGCUCUGUGCUGCAGGGAUGAGCAAGCCUCUGCUUGGCGGGCAUGGAGGGGCCUGGGCAGUUCAGUGCUCCUUAACAACUGCAGCCGCAGAAGGAAAGGGAGCUUUGCAAACACACAGCAUGCAUCUCACUGCGAGGCAUGCAGACAAGCAGCGUAGCUGGUGUUCAGCCUCAUUGGCCACCGUACAGCUCCCUGAGCAGCCCUACUGUGCCAUGCUGGGCUCACAGGUCCUGCUCAGUGGGCAGUAUGACAGAGAGCUGUGACAUGGAGCACCAACUAGAUGUUUCACACUAAAAGCUGGCUGCUCCAAAACACACUGUGUGAGGUUUUAAUCCCUUCAGCCACAUGCUCCUUUUAUGGGUGAUACCUGCACUCAUGACACUUGCAUCCACUGGGAAGGCACCAACCUGACUUGUGCUUAAGCAGAAAUAUUCUUCCCUGUGCCACCUCAUUGCAGGUGUUCUUGUUGGCCCACACAGCACCUCUGCAGGAUUGCUUACUCAUACACAGCUUCCUCAGGACCGUUGCAACCAAGAGCCAGUACAAGAGCUUUAAGCUACCGAGGCCAAAUACCUAAAGACAAGACACAAAGGGGAGCUUCCUUGGGAUUUACAACACAGCUUUAAGAGGAUUUGGGGGACACACAGCCACACAGUUAUUUAUGUAAACCUAAGUCUAUAUACGUGGAUCAAAAAACUCCACAUACAUGGCAACUACUUUCAUUAUGCCCCAGCACAUUCCAUAUCGUUCAGGUGUUGUUUUCUUUUAGUCAUUUCUUUGAAGACACUUUAAAAAAAAUCAAAGCUAAAUUAAAACAAAACAUAAAACUAUAUGAUAAAAACUGAACAAAUCUAGUGAUACAAAAGUUAUGUUAAAAGCAGAUUUUAAUUGCUGGCGUCCAAUUAAACAAGAGAAGCUACCUUGUAUAGUGACUAUUUUCUACUUCAUUUCUAAGAAUGGACAUAUUUUCAGGAUUUUUUUUUUUAUUUCCUAUGGUGUUAAGAAUGUCUGUAUCCAUGCCUGAUAGAGAUUAAAGAAAGCAAAGCAUCAUCUUAAACUUUUGGAUUUGCGGAAACAUGUUUGUUAAUGCACUGAGAAUCUUGAAGGAGUACAGGAGGAUUUCACACAACUAACUGUACUCCUUCUGAUAAUAAAUAAAUAAACGUUGCUAAAACAGUGAUCUGUUGAAUUAAUUUCCUUUAGUUUUACAAUAAAUUCAUCUGUUCCUCAGGUAAUGGGUAGAGGGUGUCUAAAAUUCUUUAAAUACAGGGUUUGUGUUCAGGACUGGAAAGCAGCUGAGUUGGGUUAUCUGUCUGUAGGGAAUUGUCCAUCUGUCUGUAGGGAAUUUAUUUUGGCUUGUUUUUGUUGUACAGCAGCAUUGUGAGGCUAAGUUAGUGCUUUAAUUUUUGUUAAUGCAGGACCAAAGGUCUUUCAGAUGUUUAUGUCUAGUGGCAGCUCGUAUCAUAAAUACUUGCUUCCAGCAUCAUGACUACACAGACUGAGUAAGCCUUCAAUCCAGCAAGGUCCCUCAGACUUGGUGCUUCUUCACAUGCCACACAAAUAUGCUUACUCAGGCAGGAAAAAAAUGCCUAAUUUAUGAGAAGUGUUUUGGUUCAUCAGAUUUGCAAAAGCAGUUUGGUGGUACAGCUGACAUUCAGAUUCCUUCGCAAGAAGAGUUGGAAGGUUGUCCUUUCUGAAAGUCAUGUCCAUGGUGUCUCAAGUUGAUAGCAUGAGCAUGAAAACACCUGCAGUUAACAGUGGGCCUAUUUCCUACUUCUGUGUGAUUCUUUUGGUCUGCAUGAACAAUAUGAAAAAAUAUUGUUAAAUAUAAGUUGAUCUAAAUAAAUACAAAUAUAUGCUUAUUGAUAUGUAUCACAAGAGGUGUUUGUGUAAUGAACUGAUUGGUCUGAGAUCCUAGCAUGAGCAAUUCUGACACAAAUGGCAACUUGGUGCUGACUGUUGGGACACACGAAGGUGUCCUUUGCUGAAUAUUUGCUACCAGAACAUCUAGGAAUGGAAGAUAUUCUUGGAAAUCUAGGCAAUGGGAUUUGCUCAAAAAUCCAUGGCAAAUACAUGACCAGAACCUGUACCUGAACCUGUUCCUGACUCGUGAGCUGAACUGGCAGGUGCCCUGUUCCAACAAGCCAGCCACAGUACAGGUGUAUUUUAAAUCACUGUGCUGAGUCAUUCUCAUUUAAAUGUAGGCUAAACCACCUGAGUGUACUGUCCUUGCUAACCUCCACAAACUCACUGUAAAGUUUUCCCUCUACAGAGCAGACAAAGCCCAUUGGCUUCAUCCCUCAUGUGAGCCACAGCCAGGCAGCUAUUGCCUAUUUGCUGCAUCACGAUAUAUGAUUACAGACAGUUGUGAGUGUUUGUUUGCUUGCUAGGCUUGUUCCUUUAAAGAGGAAGAAUUAUCCUAUUAUCUCAAGCAGAAUCACACUUGUUCCACUCUAUCUUGCCUUCUAAACUUUAAAAGCUGAAAAGUCAUCUUUUAAGUGUCUUUUUUUAGCUGAAGGAUUUUCUUUUAUUUAAUUUCUAUACAUACGCAUUUUCCACUACACAUGCUGGAAUAGUAUCUGUUUGAUUUCCUGUUAUUGUACGUAAGUCUACAUUUUUUGUCAGUGCUUUGUUUUAAACAAAGCAGAGGAACAUAUAGCAAGUUUGUCCUGAAUUAAUGGCUUCCUGACAUUUGAUGAAAUUCUUUAUACCAACCCCACUUUUCCAUAUUCCCUUUCUGGAUUUCUUUUCGUUUGGCAGCUGGCAUGUAGCAGUUAGAUCCUAUCUGGUAGCUAGAGCAAAAAGAGUCCCAAAAUGUAGAAUUACUUUUAAGAGCUCUAAAUACUACCUAGACUUCAACUUUAAAAACCUGGAAGAAUCCCAAACCCAGGAGAAAGGAUGUAUGAUGUACAUUAUCGGGCUACUGUUACGGGGAAUAGUUUAAAUACUGAAUAAAACUCAAUGAAGACUUUCAGAAUUAUUUUUGUUCAGACUUUACAGUCUUGUGGGGAAUGCAGAGGUUAGCAAUGACACCUCAAACACUAUACUGUCUUGAUAGGACUUGAAGGUUAGAUCAGGGAAGUACUGGGUAACCUAUCAAAGUCCUGAAAUCAAAAGGCAUCUUUUCUAAAAUAAAUCUCGGUGGGGAGAAUGUACACAUUCUCAUGCUGCUGUAUGUUUUGUCAUAUUCACAGGUAAAAGAAAACUAUGGGCAAUGUCUGAUAAUGCGCCUGUCCUCUACUCAGACUUGCCCCCUUCAAUGACUAGAGUCACUUCUCAAUGACUGGAGGCUCUGCAGAGUGGGGAAGUGAAAACCAGAACCCGCCUCUCCGAAGAUAAAGUUGAAAAAAAGCAAAUGAGCAAAAACAAACAAACAAACAAAAAAUACUCCCUUAACCUGGUACGUGAAAGACACAGCUUGCCAGAGUGGAAUUCAUGUACCUCCUGAAAUAUUUAAGACACCUGCAGUGAGAUUAUUUUUCCUCUUUUAAUUUGAAGAACCUGCAUUUCUCAGUUCUGAGGCAUUUCUCUGGCGGUAAUGUGUGCCAAAUAACUGGCAGUCUGGCACAACAGCACUUAUAUUCCAAGUAUUAUAAAAGAUAGAUAACAAGAAACCUGUUGCUUUUCUUUUCAGGGGAACUGAACCAUGAAUCUUAUAUGGCAUCAGUAGGUACAGAUAUAAACCCCUCUCCACUGUUUUUCUCUGCUUCUGUGACAUAAAAUUAAGGCCCAAAUUCUACAAAAUAUUUAACAGGAAAAAUCUCACAGCCCAAAAGCUCUCCUGAGGCAGUAUUUGCAUACAAUUUGUUGCAAGAUUAGGAUCAGAGGUUUUUUUCUCCCUAUUUUUCUACCUCAUUGGGUGUUAUUCUGGCAUUGCUAUGUUUUUCCAUUUACAUUGUUUUGACUAGAGUCAAAAUUGUUGUUACAUUUUAAGUCAGUGUCUGCUCUACUAAUUGAUGGGCUGCUAAAGAUCAGCCACGGAGAGUUAGAUUUCAGAGCAAGAAUCUGGCUCACAGAAGAAGUGAUUACAUGAGAUAUGUAAGGACCAAAGCCUGUAAGACCGAUUCAAACCCUAAAUGAUUUGACCAAGAGUACAAGGCAGUGAUACAUUCACAGUGAAAAUAUGGCACCUGGUCACAGUGUCUGACUUCCACUUCUUCCAUCCAACUUUAGCUGUCCUCCUUUUGCAGAGGUCAAAGCAUUGUAUAAAUAUCAGUUAAGCAGAGUAAAAUCAGCUCCUUUAAAAUAUUUAGCUACCAUCUACCAGUGCUUUAUAAUAUGAAGAACAUACCUCUGCUCUCCUGGAACAUGGCAGGAAGCAGAAGUUUCUCUUUUGAAGGCAAUGAAGUUCCUCUGCAUCUGACUUCCAAGCAGUGUCUAACCUUGCUAUAUAUUUUAAUCUAACAGUAAGAUUUUUACUUCAGAACUUGUUUUCAUUCUGAAUCUGAGAGAGAAAGUGGGCACACUGUAGAUUUCUUGUAAAAAAUUUGUAUAACCAUGCUUAUCAAAUUUUAAACAGUAGCACCAGUAUUGCAAUACUUACUUUACCAUUAUAUUAAAAACAAAAGCAACUGAAAGGAAGUCAGCACGAAAAGUUUUCCUCUUAUCAGAGUAAAUGAGAAUAUUGAUAUAAUGCAUUUCUGCUCUCUGCCUUUUAAAAUGGCAUUGAAAGCAACACAUUCUUACAAUAAAGUUUGCAUUUCACUCAAAGUGCAUUUUCCAACUGGAAAGUGUAAAGGCGAAUAUUUCAGGAUUGGUCCUACUUGAUGGUGCUUUGCAAAUACUCUCUAUUAACCUGAAUGACUGCGUAAGGUAGAGGAAAUCGGUAAACCUGGCCCUCUGAGAGCAGAGGAGCAAGUUGUUAAUGUUAAUGGGUAUCAAUUCACAUAUAUUUGCUUACAGAGAUCUGUGGCAGCUCUGAGUGUUUCACUGUGUCCAAUUUCUUCUUGCAUAAAUAAAGAAGAGCAUGAAUACUUGAAAAGAUGAAGGCUUCUCUGGAGCAGAAGAGCCAGAACUACUACAAGGAAAUUCUUGUGCUUCUUUAAUUACCCUCCUUUGCCCAUAGGUGGAAUUUCCACUCGGACAGCCCCAGCAAGCAGACUGCUAGCCUGGGAAGAGAUGUCUGUUUGUCUUUGUACAGCAAACACUGGCUGUGUUGUGCAGCUCAAGCUUCUGAUUCAAAUGAUUUCCUGAAUUCAUUCUGCUUCAUACCUCAGGGAAGGAAGAGGUGAUCCUCUUGAAAAUUCAUAUAAUUGCUUUUAUUUGAUUUUUAUUAAACCUCAUUCAAGAAUAAUGUGAUGGCUUUCUUUAUUACAUUGUUCAUCACUGCGGCAUUUUUUGAAUUUACUUUGCUAAAAGAAGCAGUUUACUAAGCCAAAGAUUGAAUUCAAGGAUUUUUGCAGAGAGAAAGCUGAGAGCUUUUUUCAAGUUCCUUUGAUUUCAAAGACUUUUGUAACAUUGAUACCCAUCUAAGAUUAUCUCUGCUUUUAUUCUCUAGUAGCUUGAACAUCUCUCCAGGCCUGAGCAGUCAGGCCAUUCUGCAGUGUGCCAUGUGUGUGUGCUGGGAUUCAGCAGGGCCAGCUGUGCCGCAGCUUCAACCCAGCUCGGCCUGAGUGCCAGGGAGCUGCCAGAGUGCCCAACCCACUCCCCUCCCCAUACCAGCCGUCCCACCACCUGCUUAGGCUGCCUCUUGCUGCCAUGCUGAUGGCAGUGGACAAAGGGAAAGGCUGCAGCUGUAGUGUGGAAAGCUACAGCAAGGAGUGGGUUCAUUGACCCCCCUCUAAAUUCUUUGUAGCUGCCACAGAGAUUGCUCCCAUUUUAAAAUUGGGAUGACUGAUGCAGAGAAGCAAAGUAAAUAAUCUGCACUUAGCAUGAAUAAAAGUAGCCGAGCAAUUAAAAUUCAGAACUGGCAACUUCAUGUCACUAGCAUCAAGCUAUACAGAUUUGGAAAAUUUGAUCUAUUUACCUCUUUGCCACUGGUGUGACAUCAUCUACUGUCCAUCAGUAACUCACACACAGAGCUACCUGAAGUGCAAUUUUAUGAGACUUUUUAAAGAGAAUUAUUUUUGGUCAUUUAAAGAUAGGUGUUUAGGAACAUGAGAAUGUUCAUAUAUUAUUAUAGCAAUUUUCCCCUCUUUUCCAUUUUAUCACAGGAAAUAACAUCUCAAAACACUAUGAGUACUUUGUAGAAGGUUCUUUUUUAUCUUAAAAAGUUUUUAACAAGAGUCCAGUCAUCUUAGUUAAUCCCUUUAAGCCAUGUCAAUAUUUAUUCUUAAGUAGAGUUUCAAAUAUUAGAGCAGCUGCACUCAGCUUAAUAGGGACAAUUCCCAUUGACUGGGAAUUAUGGCCAAGUACUGCAGGGGCUGACCUUGAGUCCUCAGGCCUACAGUUUAAAUGGCAAUAAGGGUGGCGGUGUGUCUGUUGGUUUAUGCCUCUGUCUGUAGGUAAGCACAAACCCCAGGGCUGCUUAAGGACCCUUAAUAAGCACUGCAGCUACUUCCCAGGGCUCUGGAAACCCUGUGUGAGGUGAGGCAUGUAUUUUUUAUGCUACUGGCAUCUAGACUUCUGUUUUCUAACAGUGACAGAAUAAUGGCAAUGGAUUUGGGAUAAAAGACAGGCAGAUGUACCACCAUUUCAUCAUAUAGUUACUCCUCAUCCCUCUUUCCUAAGGCAAGAAACAGGUUACUUCAUAUCACAUGGAGUACCUUGCCUUUGCCCCUCUCUCAGGGCAGGUGUGUUUGAGUCAGAGAACUUCGCUGUUCCAAGAGUCAGCUGGCAUUACGCUCUCUAAGACCCUCCAAAAGAGUGCUCUGCUCACAACCUCUAAAUUAAACUGAUCACCAGUUUUCUGGGCAGGAUUUUUUCUUCCAUUUAAAAGUUCUCUUUUUCUUUGCUUUAUUUCCGACAACACAAAACACAGUUGCUGUCUAUAGCCAUAGGGAAGUUUUAUUCAGUAAGUCCUCUGCUACCGUGGUGACACAGGAUUUUCAUGGUAGUACUGAUUCCUUUGUUGUCUUUCUGUGGUACUACAUUACAGCUAUGGCUUUUUUUUCUUUCCUUUUCCUUUUCCUUUUCCUUUUCCUUUUCCUUUUCCUUUUCCUUUUCCUUUUCCUUUUCCUUUUCCUUUUCCUUUUUUUCCAAGCAGAGGUUUUAUUUCUCCUGAGGAACAUUAAGAAGUAUUUCCCUCCCUGGGGAUGUGGAUUCUCCAUUCUGAAGAAGCCUGGGUCAUUGGAUGUCUCUUGCACAGAGAACACUUCGGAUGUCUCCGCCAGUGUUCCCAGAAAAGGGAGAUGUUUCCUGUCUGGUAGUACAGAGCAGCUGAUCAUUUCCAUGUUAUGCUGAACACAAAAACUGGACCCACUCUCAUAGUCCUCAGUGUGGGGCACCAUGUGAAUACAAAGAAGACAAUGACUGAAGGAGUUUUAAUCUUCCCUGGCCUCUCAGAUACCUUGGGGGACUCCUGGCCUUGGACCCCCUGCUCCCUGUCAUUUUUCUGACCACUUCUGGUGGGAUCCUGUGCUGUUUGCACUUAAAGUUACUGAAGUGAACCGAAAAUUGUAAGUCUCCAGCAAAGAUUAAAUGGCACAAAAAGGUGAGUAAAUAUAAACAGUGAAGUGAAAGAAGGUGGCUAGGCUUGAGAGCAGCAAGUACUAAAUGAUGUAUUUCAUAAGACCUUGAGCCUGCACUUUCCUAACAUGUUUUUAUAACAUGAUUCUAAAGGCUCCAUCUGCUUAACUUUUUCCUUCCAGAUUAAUGAUCGUUUUAGGACAACUCAGAUUUGGUUACUGUUAGCUCUAACAUUUUCAGAGAGGCUGACUUCCCCAUCAUGAGAUAAAUUGCUAGGAUAUAUGGUGCAUGCAGAGAAUUUUCUGGUCCAAACUGGAACAAUCUCUCUGCAUAGGCACAUUUACUUUUAAUUAAAAAAAACAAAAAACAAACAAACAAAAAACAAACAAACAAAAAAAACCUGUAGAUAAUUCCAUGCUUUUCACAGUAUUAACUUCACAGACAAAAACAAAAAAUCAAAAUGUUAACCCUGUCUCUCUUAUGUCUUCCAGUGUUCAAUUCCAUUCUGGUAAAGGUUUGCUACAAUUAAUCAUUUUUACAACUAUUUUAGGCUUAAAUCCCUUAAAAAACGUUCUGGAUCUGGAAUCUGACUAAAUCAGAAAUGAAAGAAAAUGUUUCCCAUUGCUUUCUGCUGAUGCUGAAGAUUUUGCAUAUUAGUCUAAUGUAACCUUGUAGUGUUGAGGUGUCCUCCAGGCUGGCUCUGGAGACCCCGCCGGCUGCUGCAGCUGCUGUGACUCCUGCUGCACUAAGAGCUUUUACAUCUGAGUGCUCUGCAGUAUAAAUGGGCAGCAACACUGCUUCUUUGCUUGGUCUCCCUGGAACAACUCUAAAAUAAACCCGCAUAUAUCAAAUAAACUCUGUGUGUUCUUUCUGUCACAGAGUGUUUGCCAUCUGGAACAGUUUCCUUAGGGCUGGAGAAUCUUUUUCCUGAAGACUGCACCCCCACCAGGCUACUGAAGCAUGUUUGUCUUUUUGUGUCUCC
ensembl:lncRNA